AUUGAACGCUGGCGGCAGGCCUAACACAUGCAAGUCGAGCGGAUGACGGGAGCUUGCUCCUUGAUUCAGCGGCGGACGGGUGAGUAAUGCCUAGGAAUCUGCCUGGUAGUGGGGGACAACGUUUCGAAAGGAACGCUAAUACCGCAUACGUCCUACGGGAGAAAGCAGGGGACCUUCGGGCCUUGCGCUAUCAGAUGAGCCUAGGUCGGAUUAGCUAGUAGGUGAGGUAAUGGCUCACCUAGGCGACGAUCCGUAACUGGUCUGAGAGGAUGAUCAGUAACAAUGGAAGUGAGACACGGUCCAGACACCUAAGGGGGGCAGCGGUGGGGAAUAUUGGACAAUGGGCGAAAGCCUGAUCCAGCCAUGCCGCGUGUGUGAAGAAGGUCUUCGGAUUGUAAAGCACUUUAAGUUGGGAGGAAGGGCAGUAAGCUAAUACCUUGCUGUUUUGACGUUACCGACAGAAUAAGCACCGGCUAACUCUGUGCCAGCCGCCGCUGUAAGAC
rnacentral:rRNA from 1 species